UACGUAGGUGGCAAGCGUUGUCCGGAUUUACUGGGCGUAAAGAGCGCGCAGGCGGUCGUUCAAGUCGCGUGUGAAAGCCCCCCGGCUCAACUGGGGAGGGUCACGCGAUACUGAUCGACUCGAAGGCAGGAGAGGGUAGUGGAAUUCCCGGUGUAGUGGUGAAAUGCGUAGAUAUCGGGAGAACACCAGUGGCGAAGGCGACUACCUGGCCUGUUCUUGACGCUGAGGCGCGAAAGCUAGGGGAGCAAACGGG
rnacentral:rRNA from 1 species